AGUGAGGUCUACUUGCCCCUCUCAGUAGAGCGUAGUCGUUGGAAAUGCCUCUGAGAUAAAGUCUGUAGUAUCGCUUUACCCAUGUCGCUAAUAUCAUUAGCUUUGUGGGAUAACGCUGCAGUACAUUU
rnacentral:snoRNA from 1 species